GAUGAACGCUGGCGGCGUGCCUAAUACAUGCAAGUCGAGCGAACAGACGAGGAGCUUGCUCCUCUGACGUUAGCGGCGGACGGGUGAGUAACACGUGGAUAACCUACCUAUAAGACUGGGAUAACUUCGGGAAACCGGAGCUAAUACCGGAUAAUAUAUUGAACCGCAUGGUUCAAUAGUGAAAGACGGUUUUGCUGUCACUUAUAGAUGGAUCCGCGCCGCAUUAGCUAGUUGGUAAGGUAACGGCUUACCAAGGCAACGAUGCGUAACAGACCUGAGAGGGUGAUCGGCAACCCUGGAACUGAGACACGGUCCAGCUUCCUAGGGGAGGCAGCGGUGGGGAAUCUUGCGCAAUGGGCGAAAGCCUGACGGAGCAACGCCGCGUGGGUGAUGAAGGUCUUCGGAUCGUAAGACUCUUUUAUUGGGGAAGAACGAAUGUGUAAGUGACUAUGCACGUCUUGACGGUACCUAAUCAGAAAGCCACGGCUAACUACGUG
rnacentral:rRNA from 1 species